UAAGUGCUCUCUAGUUCGGUUGCUG
rnacentral:miRNA from 1 species